rnacentral:lncRNA from 1 species
GGCUAAUUAUCCUUUUCAAAAAUUUUUAUAAAAUAAAAAAAAACUAGAUAGCUAAAAAAUAAAAUAUUGGGUUGCCUCCCAACAAGCACUAAGUUUAAGGUCUUCAGUCAGACCAAGCUAAAGUUUAAUUGUAAACUGGAUCCUAUAAUUCAAUUGAGUCAACUUGCUCGCCAUCUCUAAUUUCAUCCAUAUAAUGUUUCAAUCGUUGGCCAUUUACUUUGAAGGUGUUUCCCCAUUUAGGAUCUUUGA